rnacentral:rRNA from 1 species
AGCGAACGCUGGCGGCAGGCCUAACACAUGCAAGUCGAGCGCCCAGCAAUGGGAGCGGCAGACGGGUGAGUAACGCGUGGGGAUGUGCCCAAUGGUGCGGAAUAACCCAGGGAAACUUGGAUUAAUACCGCAUGUGCCCUUCGGGGGAAAGAUUUAUCGCCAUUGGAUCAACCCGCGUCUGAUUAGCUAGUUGGUGAGGUAAAGGCUCACCAAGGCGACGAUCAGUAGCUGGUCUGAGAGGAUGAUCAGCCACACUGGGGCUGAGACACGGCCCAGACUCCUACGGGAGGCAGCAGUGGGGAAUAUUGGACAAUGGGCGCAAGCCUGAUCCAGCCAUGCCGCGUGAGUGAUGAAGGCCUUAGGGUUGUAAAGCUCUUUCGCCGGUGAAGAUAAUGACAGUAACCGGAGAAGAAGCCCCGGCUAACUUCGUGCCAGCAGCCGCCGUAA